rnacentral:rRNA from 1 species
GCGGCCGCUCUGUUUUUUCCCGGCGGAGGCCACUGCUAUCAGAGUUCGAUUAAGCCAUGCGAGUCGAGAGGUGCAAGACUUCGGCAUACUGCUCAGUAACACGUGGACAACCUACCCUCCAGAAGGGGAUAACCCCGGGAAACUGGGGAUAAUACCCUAUAGACUAUGGAUGCUGGAAUGCUUCGUAKUURAAAGGUCCGCCGCUGGAGRAUGGAUCURCGGCCGAUUGGGUUGUUGUUGGGGUAACGGCCCAACAAGCCUGUAAUCGGUACGGGUUGUGGGAGCAAAAGCCCGGAGAUGGAUUCUGAGACACGAAUCGCAGGCCCUACGGGGCGCAGCAGGCGCGAAAACUUUGCAAUGCGGGAAACCGUGACAAGGGAACUCUGAGUGCCCGUAAAAUCGGGCUGUCCAUUGGUUUAAAUAACCAGUGAAGAAAGGGCCGGGCAAGACCGGUGCCAGCCGCCGGGGUAAUACCGGCGGCUCGAGUGGUGGCCACUAUUACUGGGCUUAAAGCGUUCGUAGCUGGUUUGUUAAGUCUCUGGGGAAAUCUUCCGGCUUAACCGGAAGGCGUCUCAGGGAUACUGGCAGACUAGGGACCGGGAGAGGUGAGAGGUACUCCAGGGGUAGGAGUGAAAUCUCUGUAAUCCUUGGGGGACCACCUGUGGCGAAGGCGUCUCACCAGAACGGCUCCGACAGUGAGGGACGAAAGCUGGGGGAGCAAACCGGAUUAGAUACCCGGGUAGUCCCAGCUGUAAACGAUGCGCGUUAGGUGUAUCGGUGACCACGAGUCACCGAGGUGCCGAAGAGAAAUCGUGAAACGUGCCGCCUGGGAAGUACGGUCGCAAGGCUGAAACUUAAAGGAAUCGGCGGGGGAGCACCACAACAGGUGGAGCCUGUGGUUUAAUCGGACUCAACGCCGGGAAACUCACCAGAUAAGACAGCUGAAUGAUAGUCGGGCUGAAGACUCUACUUGACUAGCUGAGAGGAGGUGCAUGGCCGUCGUCAGUUCGUACUGUGAAGCAUCCUGUUAAGUCAGGCAACGAGCG